rnacentral:rRNA from 1 species
UUCAGCAGUCAAACCAGCUGCAGUUCAGACUAGAUAAUCCUCCAGGUUUGGAUCUGGCCAGGACUUGGUUGGGAGUCCAACUAGGAAAGCUGGGUUGCUGCUGGAA